rnacentral:rRNA from 1 species
UACGAAGGGGGCUAGCGUUGUUCGGAAUUACUGGGCGUAAAGCGCACGUAGGCGGAUUUGCCAGUCAGGGGUGAAAUCCCGGGGCUCAACCUCGGAACUGCCUCUGAUACAGCAAGUCUUGAGUCCGGAAGAGGUGGGUGGAAUUCAUGGUGUAGCAGUGAAAUGCGUAGAGAUCAUGAGGAAGACCAGUGGCGAAGGCAGCUCACUGGGACGGUAUUGACGCUGAGACGCGAAAGCGUGGGGAGCAAACAGG